UACGAAGGGUGCAAACGUUGCUCGGAAUUAUUGGGCGUAAAGAGCUCGUAGGCGGCUUGUCACGUCGGGUGUGAAAGCCCGGGGCUUAACCCCGGGUCUGCAUUCGAUACGGGCUGGCUAGAGUGUGGUAGGGGAGAUCGGAAUUCCUGGUGUAGCGGUGAAAUGCGCAGAUAUCAGGAGGAACACCGGUGGCGAAGGCGGAUCUCUGGGCCAUUACUGACGCUGAGGAGCGAAAGCGUGGGGAGCGAACAGG
rnacentral:rRNA from 1 species